rnacentral:rRNA from 1 species
AGCGUUGUCCGGAAUUAUUGGGCGUAAAGAGCUCGUAGGCGGCUCGUCGCGUCUGCUGUGAAAGCCCGGGGCUUAACCCCGGGUCUGCAGUGGGUACGGGCGGGCUAGAGUGCGGUAGGGGAGACUGGAAUUCCUGGUGUAGCGGUGAAAUGCGCAGAUAUCAGGAGGAACACCGGUGGCGAAGGCGGGUCUCUGGGCCGUAACUGACGCUGAGGAGCGAAAGCAUGGGUAGCGAACAGGAUUAGAUACCCUGGUAGUCCAUGCCGUAAACGUUGGGCGCUAGGUGUGGGCCGCAUUCCACGUGGUCCGUGCCGCAGCUAACGCAUUAAGCGCCCCGCCUGGGGAGUACGG